UCCCUAGUAGCUCAGAAGGUAAGGAAUCUGCCUCAAAUGUAGGAGAUCCAGGUUCAAUACCUGGGUUGGGAA
rnacentral:tRNA from 1 species